CACAGUCACAUAUUGGACAGUACCAGUGCACAGCGGUAAAUAAAGUCAGCAAGAAUAUUAGUGACCCCUACACACUGUCCUUAUACAAUAAUGAACCUCGUUCAGGCAACUCUGCGGCCUUUACAGCCGCCAUCAUCUGUGGGUGCAUCUUGGGGACUGUGCUCAUCAUCUGUGCAGUGCUCCUACUGUACAAAAAAUAUAUUCUUCCCCUAACAGGACAAUCAGGUGACACAGAGGAGGACCCAUCCCAAAUAUAUAUUAACAUUCUCAAUACUGCAGGGGUUCAGUUGGCAAAAAAGGAAUCUGAAUAUGCGACACUGGAGUACCCAAGUCAGAAUACGUAUAGCGAGCUGAAACAAUAACGUGAUACAUACAGUUGGAGCAUGUGUAAAAUAUGUAUAUAAAAUAUGUAUAUGGCCAUAAGACUUGAUAAGGAAGCAGCACAACUUUUUUUUUUUUUUACAAAUAUUUUUGCAUUUUAAAUUACUUCAAUAAUAAAACCCCUAAACAAACAAGGGUGUCGGCAUUUGUAUAAAUCAGUAAGCAAUAACCAUUUCCAAUGGAAGACACUUCUAGUGUAACAAUCAAAUUGAAUAAAGGGUAAGAAG